CCCCUAUACCAUCCCACCCUGGAAACACCCCAUCUCUUGCCUGAUCUCAGAAGCUAAGCAGUUUGGCCUGGCUAGAAUCUGCACUAGGGAAUGUGGUA
ensembl:rRNA 5S_rRNA 5S ribosomal RNA